rnacentral:lncRNA from 1 species
ACAAAAAAAACUAAAGAAAUUAAUUUUUUCUGGAUCUGUCAGAUAAUAGAGGUCACAAGGCAAACCACCAGCCUUAAAUCUGGAGAGACAAGCAAACGGAGAUCAGCUUACUUGGAGCAGAAGGACCAAGGUCAGACUCAUCCUUCCUGAUCCUCUUGUCUGCAUGUAUCAGCUAAUGGUCAAUGUUCUGAAUGCAGUCCAUAUGUCUCCACUCUUGUGAGGCUUCUCUGCUGUGUGGUCUCCCA